UAAAAAUGUGGUUUGUGGGCAUUCUGCUGCAUGUGCUUAUCGGUGCCCAACAAGAGCAUCAGUUCUUCAAAAUGCUUCUGUGUCACUCCAUAGAGCCCACCAAUCCUUAAAUGCUUCACUCCUUGUGUACCCAUAGUCUUAAAUGCCUUUAAGCUAGAUACAAUGCCUUCAAUGCUGAGUCUUGUACAUCCAGGCACACUCAGCUUGAUUAGCCUAGGGUUAUUUUGAAGGACAUGCUUCAACCCAUCAUCAGUAAUCCUUGGACACUCAA
rnacentral:misc_RNA from 1 species